rnacentral:rRNA from 1 species
CAAUAGCGUAUAUUAAAGUUGUUGCAGUUAAAAAGCUCGUAGUUGGAUUUCUGGUGGGAGCGAUCGGUCUGGCGCUUAGCGCGAGUACUUGCAUCGUCUCCGGCCAUCCUUGGGGAAAGUCUGUCUGGCAUUAAGUUGUCGGGCAGAGGAUCCUCAUCGUUUACUGUGAAAAAAUUAGAGUGUUCAAAGCAGGCUUAUGCCGUUGAAUAUAUUAGCAUGGAAUAAUAAGAUAGGACUUUGGUACUAUUUUGUUGGUUUGCGCACCAAAGUAAUGAUUAAUAGGGACAGUUGGGGGUAUUCGUAUUCCGUUGUCAGAGGUGAGAUUCUUGGAUUUACGGAAGACGAACUACUGCGAAAGCAUUUACCAAGGAUGUUUUCAUUAA